CGUAAGACUCCAGUCAUCCUGUGGUUGACUUUCGAACGUCCUGUGGGAAAUUCGUCUGGUUGUCCUAGAAGCCUCUAGGUCACUGGCGGUGGUCCUAUCUGUAUAAAAGAGGCAUAGCUCACUUGGAGGUGUCCCAGUAUAAACUCGAGUGUAUGUGAGAGUGAGCUUAUCUGCAGUGUAUACGAGAAAAUGAAACUGACGCUCGGUAACACCUUUGUGAUUCUCGUGAUGUUGGGUGUCUUUGCUCUUUCGAGCCAAGCUUCUCCUGUACCAGGACCCGACCCAGAGGCCAAUCCCGUGGCUAGUCCGUUAUUUUGGGGGAAUAAUAACAACUGGUUGGGAAGUAUAUUAGGAACCAUCGCCUCUAUCAAGCAGCGUCUGAUCGCUCAGCUACUUAGCGAGCGAGGAAGUCCCACUACCUCCCCUCCUGUCUACACGCCAACACGAUAGAAGAAGAGAAGUAGACUCAUGAUGAUGAAGUAGAAGGAGAAGGAAGAUGUGAUAAUAGGAACUGAAUAAACAGUGAAUAUUUCCA